rnacentral:rRNA from 1 species
AUGCAAGUCGAACGGGCACUUCGGUGCUAGUGGCAGACGGGUGAGUAACACGUGGGAACGUACCUUUCGGUUCGGAAUAAUACAGGAAACUUGUACUAAUACCGGAUACGCCCUUCGGGGGAAAGAUUUAUCGCCGAUAGAUCGGCCCGCGUCUGAUUAGCUAGUUGGUGAGGUAAUGGCUCACCAAGGCGACGAUCAGUAGCUGGUCUGAGAGGAUGAUCAGCCACACUGGGACUGAGACACGGCCCAGACUCCUACGGGAGGCAGCAGUGGGGAAUAUUGGACAAUGGGCGAAAGCCUGAUCCAGCCAUGCCGCGUGUGUGAUGAAGGCCUUAGGGUUGUAAAGCACUUUUGUCCGGGAAGAUAAUGACUGUACCGGAAGAAUAAGCCCCGGCUAACUUCGUGCCAGCAGCCGCGGUAAUACGAAGGGGGCUAGCGUUGCUCGGAAUCACUGGGCGUAAAGGGCGCGUAGGCGGACUUUUAAGUCGGGGGUGAAAGCCCAGGGCUCAACCCUGGAAUUGCCUUCGAUACUGAGAGUCUUGAGUUCGGAAGAGGUUGGUGGAACUGCGAGUGUAGAGGUGAAAUUCGUAGAUAUUCGCAAGAACACCAGUGGCGAAGGCGGCCAACUGGUCCGAUACUGACGCUGAGGCG